GAGACUCCAAUCCCACAGAAUUGGGACUUUAUAUGGUUAAUGCCCUCAAUAAGUACAAUAUUCUUUACUGUCACAUGGUGGAACCAAGAAUAAAAUCAAAUGAUGAAACGAUUGAAAGCCCUUACAGUCUGGUGCCCAUGAGAAAGGCUUUCAAUGGUACUUUCAUGGUUGCGGGAGGUUAUGACAGACAAGAUGGGAUCAAUGCUAUAGCAGAUAAUAGGGCAGAUCUUGUUGUUUAUGGUCGUUUGUUCUUAGCGAAUCCAGAUUUGCCGAAGAGAUUUGCACUAAACGCUCCUCUCAAUAAAUAUAACAGGGAGACAUUCUACACUUCUGAUCCGGUUGUAGGUUAUACGGACUAUCCCUUUCUUGAAUGAAGAAAACAAUGUUGUAUUGUAGCAUCCAAGGUUGGAAGUGGAACCUCCAUAUUUAAUAAGUUUUUUCUCCUUGCAAAUUUGUUCACUUAAUUAAGAAUUUUGUUGCUUAUAGUAGCAUUUUUUAUCCAUACUAGCUUCACUGCUACGACACACAGUGUGUAAACUAUUAUGUACCUGAUAUUUUAUACCAUAUGAGCUUUGUGUUUGAUAGGUUCCUGGAAUUAAAGAGAAGAAGUGUAUUAGAAAAUGGAGAAAAACUCAUAGUAGCCAUCAUUUAUUUUUCUAGCAUUGUUUAUACAUCUAGUUCGAGCAUAAUAGUAAAGGAAUAGAGACGAGUCCUUAGCAGUUUAUCCUAAUUAUCUUGGUGAAUUGACAAAAAAGGAGUAAAAGCUCAAAUUUAAUUUUCUCUUCAAAGUUCUAAAGUAAAUGGAAGCUUUUCAUUUUCUCUGCAAAAUGCCACUAGGCAAUUGCUUGUUUGCAAAAUCAGUUUGAAGCAGAAUGUGUAAUGAGAAGUAAAUUAAAAGUACAGGUUAAAAUACUACAACUAAGAGUAGUUUACUACUACCUUGAUUUAAAUAGGAGCUGAAAAACCAAUUUUUAUAUAGUAUUAGUUUCACCAUCCUUAAGUCAUAUAUACGAAGUCUCAUGGAAUUUCUUGUCCAAUUUGAAUAUAAAUAAAAAACAAAUAGAAAUCAGAAGAACAUUUAAAUUUGAAAGAACUGUGAUUUGUGAACACAUUUGUACAUUCGAUGGUUCUUGUCGAUGCCAUAAAUUACUUACAUGUUAUAUUUUAUGAAAAAUCAUACAAAGAAAUAUUAUACUGUAACAGCAAAUGAAAAAACAAAGAAACAUGCACUGAAGAUUAUCUAUUGUUCACAAUGAAAAAUAUUUAUGAAUUAAAGUAACACUAAUGACCAUUUUACAAGGGAGAAUUGUUGUUCCCACGUGUGAUAAGGCUGUGCCACACUAAUAAAAUACGAUUUUACCCCCUCGGCAGUUAACUGCCGAGGAAUUUGAAUUUCGGCUGCAGUUAAUUACCGAGGAAAUCCUCGAUAGUUAACUGCCGAGGAAAUGUUUCAUCAGAUGAAACAGCCACCUGCUCCCCCUACACACUAUUUUCUUCAUCAACUUCAUUUCCACCUCCAUUCAAUCCCAAAAUCCAAUUUUUCUUUAAUCAAUUCUUGAUCCAAAAUCAUUCAAGCAUCAAGCAUAGGAGGUAUCAACACACUUUUGACGUAAAAAAACAGGUAUUGUGCAUUUUAUUCGAUAAUGUAUCAAAAUAUUUCUUGGAAGCAUCUUGCUCUUGGUCAAGUCACGUACAAUAUUCUUGUCGUCCUCCUUUAAUCUACCGGCAAGAAUGUGUCCUUCUAAAGCCGGCUCCAUGGCAUGGUUGUGAACUCCAUUAAGAAUGUUCAAUCCCCAUUCCUUUGUUUGCUUACUUUGAUAUCCACUAAUCAUGAACAAGCACCCACAUUUUCUUGAGCCCGUUCUCGCAUGCUUCGGUUUUUUUUUCCGGCACUUUGUGAGUUCCACUCCUUUCACACACUAGCCGGAACAUUGGAUUGAUCAAGCUUGAUCUUUGUGUGACAAUUGUAAAUCCCGCCUUAUUUGCUUGAUGACGCACCCACUCAAGCAAUUCAUCUCUAUCUUUCGAUUUAACGUCGUCUGAAAAAAACCUAGCCGUGUCGACCUCGUGGGCUUGAAGUGGGAGGACACCGGAGCCGCCAACAUACUUUGAAGCUUCAACAUGGACGGAAACUCCAUCAAUGUUUGGUUUCGCUUCAACCUUAGGCGGUUUGACAUCUCCGGAAUUUUCGACAAAAUUUUGUUUUGUCUCUUCCGGAACAUCUUUUGCGUUCUCUACCAUUACUAUAAUUAAACAACACAUAAAUAUGAAUUAACAACUAACUAAUGUAUAAACAUCAAUGCCAUAAUGAAUUAAAACAAAAAAAACAAAAGAAAUUUUUUUUUGAAAAUCUGGCAGUAGCUGCCAUUUUUUCGUUGUGAAAAUUUUUCACCAAGAGUUCCUCGGUAUCUUACUACCGAGGUUUUCCUUAGCACUACACUACCGAAGUUACAAAAGUGUGUUGAUACCCAUAAAAUAGGCAAAAAAUAUUUUGAUACGUGACUUGACCAAGAGUUCCUCGGUAUCUUACUACCGAGGUUUUCCUCGACACUACACUACUGAAGUUACAAAAGUGUGUUGAUACCCAUAAAAUAGGCAAAAAAUAUUUAGAUUAAAGGAGGACGACAAGAAUAUUGUACGUGACUUGACCAAGAGCAAGAUGCUUCCAAGAAAUAUUUUGAUACAUUUGAAGAACAAAAGACCACAUUGCAUGACAAAUGUGACACAAGUGUACAAUGAACGUCAACAAAUAUGGAAGGAAAAUAGAGGUGACAAGAAGCCGUUGCAAUAUCUAAUCUCGAAGUUGGAGGAGCACAACUAUACUUAUUACUCAAGAACACAAAGUGAAAGUACUACAAUCGAAGAUAUCUUUUGGGCUCAUCUAACAUCCAUUAAGUUGUUUAACAAUUUUCCAACGGUUUUGGUUACGGACUCAACCUACAAAAUCAACAUGUAUAGGAUGCCAAUGUUUGAGGUAGUUGGGGUCACUUCGACCGAUUUGACAUAUUCGGUUGGGUUUGGAUUUAUGACACAUGAGAAAGAGGAAAACUUUGUUUGGGUUUUAAAAAUGUUGCAUAAACUUCUUUCGUCAAAGAUGAAUAUGCCUAAGGUGAUUGUUACCGAUAGGGAUAUGUCUUUGAUGAAAGCGGUUGCAAAUGUUUUUCCCGAAAGUUAUGCAAUGAAUAGUUACUUUCAUGUGCAAGCAAAUGUUAAACAAAGAUGUGUCUUAGAUUGUAAAUAUCCUUUGGGUUUUAAAAAGGAUGGGAAAGAGGUGAGCAAUCGCGAUGUUGUCAAGAAGAUAAUGUAGGCAUGAAAAGCUAUGGUUGAAUCACCCACUCAAAAGUUAUAUGCAAAUGCAUUAGUGGAGUUCAAAGAUUCCUGUAGUGAUUUCCCAAUUUUCAAAAAUUAUGCCAUGACCACCUUGAAUGAAGUGAAGGACAAAAUUGUGAGGGCAUGGAUAGACCAUGUGUUGCAUCUUGGUUGCAGGACCACGAACAGGGUCGAAUCGGCUCAUACUUUAUUGAAGACAUACUUGGAUAAUAGUGUGGGUGAUUUGGGUACUUGUUGGGAGAAAAUACAUGACAGGUUGUUGCUUCAAUUCACUGCUAUACAAACAUCCUUUGGUCACAGCGUUAGUGUGUUGGAACAUAGAUUCAAAGAUGUCACUUUAUACUCGGGGUUAGGUGGUCAUGUGUUUAGAUAUGCUUUGGACAGCAUUGCUUUGGAAGAGACACGUUGUAGGAAAACAUUGUGCAUGGACAAUGACAUUUGUGGUUGUGUUCAAAGGACAUCUUACGGGCUACCAUGUGCAUGCGAAAUUGCUACUAAGCUCCUUGAAGAGAAGCCAAUUUUAUUGGAUGAGAUAUACCACCAUUGGCUUAGGUUACGUAUGGGCGAAGAAAGUAACGAAGUUGCUUUUUGUGUCGAGGUUGAGUUGAAGGCUAUUGUAGAAUGUCUAAAGAAACUCCCUUUCCAAAUGAAGCUUGAGGUGAAAGAGGGUUUGUGGCAGUUGGCAUUUCCUGAAACCACCUUGUUGUCUCCACCACCACGAAAAGUACCAACCAAGGGAGCAAAGAAAAAAGUCGACAUUGCGAGGUCUAAAGGAAAAAUUACAUCGACUAGUCGGAUCCCUUCUUCGUGGGAGGUUGUUGAUUCCCAAAAUCCGGAUAGCCAACCAUCACCAUCACCAUCACCAACAACAUCAUCGUAUAAAAGGAAAAAAGGUGCUCGUCUUGGUAAAACAUCACUUUCCCCACUUCUACCACCUACUCGGUAUCCAAAGCCUAAGGAUAUCCCGAUUAUGAGUCCUAUUGAUUAUAUGCCACGCUUCAUGCUUCCAUUUAUUGAAAAAGUGGUGGAUGUUAUCGGCGAUGGACAUUGUGGAUUCCGGGCUAUAGCCGAGUUCAUGGGCUUGACCGAAAAAAAUCAUCUCAUGAUCUGUACACAUCUUAUUCAAGAGUUGAUAGAUCAUAGAGAUGAUUAUGUUGAAGUAUUUGCGGGUGAGGAUCGUUAUAACUACAUUUUAAACGGCUUACAUCCUCCCGCAAAUACAAAAACUUGUGCACAUCUUGUUGAUAAGUGGUUGACUUUUCCGGACAUGGGGCACAUUGUUGCUAAUUAUUACAAAAUGUGUGUGGUCGUGUUGACAAAUCUUGAAGUUGGAAACUCAAAAUCUUUUUUCCCACUAAGAGGGCCACCACCGCCGGGUAAUAAAAAAACUCCCAUCUUGUGCCUUGGGGAAAUUCCGAAUCAUUUCGUGCUUAUUUAUUUGAAGAAUGGUUGUCCACUACCUCCAUCAUCUACGGAGUGGCACAAUCACAAGAAAGAAGAUGCGGUGACUUGGGAAGAUGAGUAUUUGGAUCAACAUGAGUUGUUCCGAAAGCUCAUGGCUAUUGAAAGUGGAAACAAACCGCCGAAACCACAAAAGGAGUCAAACAAAGCGGCGCCUAUUUUGUUGGACACUCCCGAAAAACCAAAGCAACAAUUUGAAGUUAUUGCGGAAGAUGAGGAAGAUUCUAUGUCAUUUGAUCUUCUCCAAUCACUUGGUCUUUAAUGAGUGAUUUUUUGUCGGUGUUAGUCCUUUUUUUUGGUAGAAAUUACACCGAUGUAUAUUUUGGGGUCGAAAUUGUAACGCCAAUUUUUUGUGGCCAAUAUAUAACUAACAUUAUGUAAUUUAUAUAUAUAUAUAUAUAUAUAUGAUAAUAUGACUUUUAUGUGGUGAAACUAAUGCAAUACUUAUUUAUAGCUUAUUAAUGUUUAUGCAUUUGAUUUAUUCGUUAUUACAUUCCAUUUAAUUUUGUUCUAAUAUAUAAUUCUUUUCUUAAAGCUUUUUUCAAGUGAGACAUGUCUGAGGUUGCACAAAUUGAAGGGUGCGUUAGAUACUCCGCGUUUAAAAAGACGGUUAAAGUUAUGAUAACGCCGACAGACUCUCUUGACGAUUUGAAGGCACGAUUUAACACUUAUUUUGAGCAUCUUGGUAAAAAUUAAUAUACACGUCACUUGUUUGGUCAAAUGCCAUGCAUAGACCUAGGAGAAGAUAGAGAUGAAUACGCAUGGAAAACGGCAAGCUAUAUGCCUUUGCUUAUUCGCGACGACGGCGACAUCGGAUUUAUGUUUGGAAUAUGGUGGAAAAUAAUAUGUUAUAUAUGUAUGUUCGUACCAUAUGCAGUUGCGUUGAAUGUAAGUAGGGAUUUAAUUUAAUGAUAUGUAAUGAGUUGUUAAAUUAUUGACACUUAAUUAUAGACACUUUGUAAUGUUUUGAUGAAUUUCAAACGUUUGUUUAAUUUUAACCAAAUGUCGGUUUAAUUUAAUUAUGGACAAUUGUAAAAGAUAUUGUAUUUAUCGUGUUUAUGUCCGAGUUUCAAUCUUGUAUGAAUUAUUUUGCCUUUGAAAAUGCUCUGGUUUAAUUACAGGUAAAAACUGACCCAAAAAAUGGCUUGGAAAUAUUUAGGAUUAUGCAGAACUCACUGUCUGCAUAAUCAGUUUUCCUCGGCAGUUAACUGCCGAGGGGGUAAAAGAGUAAAAUACUCGUGUGGCACAACUUUAUGUAAAGUGUAAACAUCAAUUCUCUUUACAAGGAGAUUCAAACUCAAUACCUUAAGGUUAUAAUUCUGAGUUCUUGCACCGAGCUAGAAGAACCUCAAAGUGUAUAAUUGUCAUUUUCGCCCCUUAGGAAGUAACAAAAUAAAACAGCACGGGGAUCCAUAGCAUGACUAUACUUCUAGUGGAAAAAAAAUAAACUAAUUGUUUAUUUUUCUAAAUAGGUAGAAAGUUUUCCUUAAAAAUCAUUAUUGGGAUGUGCACUCUUCAAUUCUUUGAGUGCUUAAGUUAAACCAAACUAAUUCAUCGUCGUUUUUUCUAAAGAAUAUAUCUUCCUUCUUACCGACUCCAAUAGGAUGCUCAACACAAUCCAACAAUGAAGAAUUUGGUCCAAGAUUCCGUCACUUCAACUUCAUCCAAAAUUGAUAUGUGUAAAAUAGUUGAGGUAAUUUUGAAAGUACGAGAAAAGCAAGAUCAUCAUGUACAUGUUUAUUACUAACCUUUCCAUUUGUCGCAGUCACUGAUUUCCCCAUUGAGAUUUGAGAGAAACCGCCGAUGCCAAACAAACCUAAUCAAGCUGCUGCUACAGGUGUGGUUAACUUGUAGAAAUUGGAUUGAAUUUAUUCAAAAUUUAAGAGAUUUUUUUGCUCCUAUUAUGGCAGUACGCGGAGUUUAUGCCUGAAUUUUUAGAAAUUGAUUUUUUCUUCAUUUUUUGGAUUUCUUAUUAUAAUGUAAUGAAAAGAUUUCUUGCUUCCAAUUAGCUUUUAACAUCCUUAACAAAACGAAGGCUUAAAUAUGCAUUUUGUCCUGUAAUUUGGGUGUGUUUUGAUUUUCGUGUUUGUAAAUUUUUUGUUUUAAAAAGAUCCCUGCCCAACUUUUUUACUGACAUGGGAUGGUUUUGGCCACAUGGCAAUUGUUGACUGUGCAACUUUUGCCACGUGGCAGUCCACGUCAUUUUACUCAUUUUUUAAAUUAAAAAAAUAAAAAAAUCAUGAAAAAAUUCCAAUUUUUUUUUUUAAAGAUAGAAAAAAAAUUGGAAAUUAGUUUUUCGAAAAAAAAAUGUAAUAUAUAAUUUUCAAAAAUUUAAUUUUCACUUUUUUUUCAAAAAUUUUAAUUUUAACAGUUUUUCCGAAUUUUUUUUAUGAUUUUUAAAUUUAUUUUCAUAUUUUUUUAAUUUAAAAAAAGAAUUUUCAGAAUUUUGAAUAUUUUUUAAUUAUGUGACAUGCCACGUCAACGACACGUGAUAAAAGUUGCACAAUCAGCAACUGACAUGUGGUCAAAACCAUACCAAAUCAUAACUGAAGUGGGAUCAGAGACCUUUUUAAAACAAAAAAGUUUUUGGAGGGAUAUUUUUAAUUUUUGUUUUUUACAAGGACGAAAAUCAAAACGCGCUCAUAUCACAUCCACGAAUUGCAUAUUUAAACCUAAAAUAAAAUUAAAAAAAGCUUUUAACAUAGGUCGAGUAUAAUUUUAACAGUUUUUGUUCAUAUUUUUUUUUUUUUAAUUUCGUUUUCCACCUUCAUCAUACUUGUUAGAGGGCCCUUCAUUUGAUUGGAUUUUCUCCUCCAAUGCUAUUGAAGUCCGUAAAUUGAUCCAAAUUUGAAAAAUGCUUCAAUCACUGUACAAUAAUAUUUUCCCGGAAACAGGACUAAUUAAUUGUUGUUAAGGUCAUCUAACAUGCUCAAUGUGGUGCAAAUUUCAGGUUUUGAUGGGAUGAAAUCCAUGCAACUCAUGGCUACCUACUUGAGCAAUGUGUAUAACCAUUUAAACAUCCAUUAUUUUCAUAUAAUCAUUCAACAUCUUAUUUUUUCAAUGUCUCCUCCAAUCGCAUCAUCGACAUAUUAUAUUAUAUGAUAUUUAUAUAACCAAUUUAUGACAAACUUUUGGGACAAUCUUAUUUUUUUUUUCUUUUUAAGAGUAAUAGUCAUUUUAGUCCUUAAAUGCAUAACAAGUAUCUACAACAGUCGUAUCAAAAUUUUAAAAUAGUCUUUGCACUUCGUUUGUCAAAAUAGUUACUAAUGUUAAAAUGUUUCAUUAACAUUGUCAUAUUAGUCUUUUAAUAUACAGUAAAACUUAGUCUUGAAAAUAUAAGUUUUACUUUUUUCUUAGCAAUUAUUACACCAAUUUUCGAUACAAACUUACUUUUUUUAGUACUUUAACUAAUGCCCCAAGGGCAAUGGUUAUAAGUUUUACUUUUUUCUUAGCAAUUAUUACACCAAUUUUCGAUGCAAACUUACUUUUUUUAGUACUUUAACUAAUGCCCCAAAGGCAAUGGUUAACAUUCUUCAAAUAACUAUUACCCCUUCUUUUUAUUUGUAAAAAAUAAUAGAGAGAAUAAAUUUAAAAGAGAUAGUAAAAACACAGUGAAAUAUAAAAGAGUUAUUCAAUUGUCCACAAACUAUGCCAAAAUGAUUGUACAACUAUCAUUUCAAUAUCUAUAAAAAGAGGAGAAAAGUUUUUUUUGACAACCUACAAGUUGUGUCAUUUAAUAAUAAUAAUAAUAAUUUUCUCCUUCCCUUAAUCAAAUUCACAUUUGUUUUAGGUGUAUUUUCACACAUAUCUCAAUAGUUAUUCUACUUGUUCAAAUAUCACACUCUCAAUUUCUUUUCUUCAAAAGUGUUAAUGAGUGUAUGCGAAUGGGGUUCAAUUCUUUUAUUUUAUUUAUUUCCUUGAAAGAAAAUUUAUUUUUUUAACAAAAAGAAGUGUGAACACAAAAGUCUUCAUAUUUUAAACCACUUCCUUUUAAAGAUAGCUAGGACAUUGACCAAUAGUAAUACUUCUAAAUGAAAUGGGAAAAGAACGAACUUGGACGGUUUUAAUCGACAGGUACAUACCUGAUACCUACCUAUGCAAUGGCACACGUCACCAAGAAGUAGCACAAACGUUGGGAUUUGACUUUUCACACCUUACUUUAUCAAUAAGACAAAAAAGUAUUUCCACUUCUAGAACAUACCAUAUAGUAUAAAUAUCCAUACACCAAACCAACCCCCUUCAUAUUGAAUCACAUAUUUUUCAUCAAAAGAAAAAAAAUGGAAGCUGCCAACAUCACUAAUUCAAUUCCUCUUCUUACACCUUACAAGAUGGGUAAAUUCAAUCUAGCUCAUAGGUACAUACUACAUAGUAUACCAUUUCAUUUUGUAUUCUAUUUCAUUUCAAUUUUUUUUUGCUCUUGCUAAAUAAUUUCACAUAAUUUCAGAGUUGUUUUGGCACCACUAACAAGAAUGAGAUCAUACAACAAUGUUCCUCAACCCAUUGCUGUCAAGUAUUAUUCUCAGAGAACCUCUAAAGGUGGUAUUCUCAUAGCUGAAGCUACUGGUGUUUCAGACACUGCUCAAGGCUAUCCAAACACGCCAGGAAUAUGGACUAAAGAGCAAGUUGAGGCGUGGAAACCUAUCGUAGAUGCGGUUCAUGACAAAGGCGGUAUAUUUUUCUGUCAGAUUUGGCAUGUUGGAAGAGUUUCAAAUUCAGGUAUAUCAUGUUUAUUUCAUCAUAUCAUUAUUUAUUAUGAAAAUAAAAGUUGGAGUGAGCUGAAGGUCUAACCAUCAAUGUCAACCCAAAUUGGUUAAGAUCAUCAAUUUUUAACAUAGACCUAGCAUAAUUUUAGCAUUACCUAGCUCAAAUAUAACAUGAUUUUUAAGCAUCAAUCAAAUAACUUAGGUCUACCAUCAUUGACAGUAAACCGAAGAUGAUUUGGGUUUGAGGUUGUUAUUAUUGAGAAUUACUAUCAAGGUGUAACCACUUUCUAAUGUUUUAAGGUCUACUCACAUUUAUGCAAAUAGAAUACUCACUCAAUGUAUGUUCAUGUUUUUUCCUUGUGAAUCGAAUAGUUUAUCAGCCAAAUGGACAAGCACCGAUAUCUUCUACGGACAAGUCACUCACAAGCAAUGAUGUACAACAAUUCACGAAACCGAGACGGCUAAGCACAGAUGAAAUUCCUCAUAUUGUCAAUGAUUUCAGACUUGCUGCAAGAAAUGCUAUUGAAGCUGGUAAGUUUACAGGUUUUUACAAAUUUUGUCUAAAAUUGAAAAAUGCCAUAGUACAAUAUUGAUAUUUUUUCAGAAACAUGACUAUUUGUUGCUUUAAAGCACAAGGACAUUUUUCAAAUCUCCUAACAUAAUCAAUGUGGUGCAAAUUGAAGGUUUUGAUGGAGUUGAAAUCCAUGGAGCUCAUGGCUACCUACUUGAACAAUUCAUGAAAGAUAAAGUGAAUGACAGAACAGAUGAAUACGGUGGAUCCCUCGAGAAUCGUUGUCGAUUUCCUUUGGAAGUUGUUGAAGCAGUUGUGAAUGAGAUAGGAGCAGAUAAAGUUGGAAUUAGACUAUCACCUUUUGCAGAAUAUGCAGAAAGCGGAGACUCCAAUCCCAAUGAAUUGGGACUUCAUAUGGUUAAUGCCCUCAAUAAGUACAAUAUUCUUUACUGUCACAUGGUGGAACCAAGAAUAAAAUCAGCUUCUGAAACGAUUGAAAGCCCUUACAGUCUGGUGCCAAUGAGAAAGGCUUUCAAUGGCUCUUUCAUGGCUGCAGGAGGCUAUGACAGACAAGACGGGAU
rnacentral:lncRNA from 1 species